AAGCUCGUAGUUGAACCUUGGCUCUGGCUGGCCGGUCCGCCCACCGCGAGUACUGGUCCGGCUGGAGCUUUCCUUCUGGGGAACCUCAUGGCCUUCACUGGCUGUGGGGGGAACCAGGACUUUUACUGUGAAAAAAUUAAAGUGUUCAAAGCAGGCCUUUGCUCGAAUACAUUAGCAUGGAAUAAUAGAAUAGGACGUGCGGUUCUAUUUUGUUGGUUUCUAGGACCGCCGUAAUGAUUAAUAGGGAUAGUCGGGGGCGUCAGUAUUCAGCUGUCAGAGGUGAAAUUCUUGGAUUUGCUGAAGACUAACUACUGCGAAAGCAUUCGCCAAGGAUGUUUUCAUUAAUCAGGGAACGAAAGUUAGGGGAUCGAAGACGAUCAGAUACCGUCGUAGUCUUAACCAUAAACUAUGCCGACUAGGGAUCGGACGGGAUUCUAUUAUGACCCGUUCGGCACCUUACGAGAAAUCAAAGUUUUUGGGUUCUGGGGGGAGUAUGGUCGCAAGGCUGAAACUUAAAGAAAUUGACGGAAGGGCACCACAAGGCGUGGAGCCUGCGGCUUAAUUUGACUCAACACGGGGAAACUCACCAGGUCCAGACAAAAUAAGGAUUGACAGAUUGAGAGCUCUUUCUUGAUCUUUUGGAUGGUGGUGCAUGGCCGUUCUUAGUUGGUGGAGUGAUUUGUCUGCUUAAUUGCGAUAACGAAACGAGACCUCGGCCCUUAAAUAGCCCGGUCCGCAUUUGCGGGCCGCUGGCUUCUUAGGGGGGACUAUCGGCUCAAGCCGAUGGAAGUGCGCGGCAAUAACAGGCCUGUGAUGCCCUUAAAUGUUCUGGGCCCGCACG
rnacentral:rRNA from 1 species